rnacentral:rRNA from 1 species
AUUGAACGCUGGCGGCAGGCCUAACACAUGCAAGUCGAGCGGUUGAAGGGAGCUUGCUCCUGGAUUCAGCGGCGGACGGGUGAGUAAUGCCUAGGAAUCUGCCUGGUAGUGGGGGAUAACGUCCGGAAACGGGCGCUAAUACCGCAUACGUCCUGAGGGAGAAAGUGGGGGAUCUUCGGACCUCACGCUAUCAGAUGAGCCUAGGUCGGAUUAGCUAGUUGGUGGGGUAAAGGCCUACCAAGGCGACGAUCCGUAACUGGUCUGAGAGGAUGAUCAGUCACACUGGAACUGAGACACGGUCCAGACUCCUACGGGAGGCAGCAGUGGGGAAUAUUGGACAAUGGGCGAAAGCCUGAUCCAGCCAUGCCGCGUGUGUGAAGAAGGUCUUCGGAUUGUAAAGCACUUUAAGUUGGGAGGAAGGGCAGUAAGUUAAUACCUUGCUGUUUUGACGUUACCAACAGAAUAAGCACCGGCUAACUUCGUG